UAGCCUGCUGGUUAAGGCUACGGAUCGCCAAUCCGGAGACGGCGGGUUCGAUUCCCGU
rnacentral:tRNA from 1 species